rnacentral:rRNA from 1 species
GGAAUUUUGCGCAAUGGGCUAACGCCUGACGCAGCAACGCCGCGUGGAGGAUGAAGGUCUUUGGAUUGUAAACUCCUGUCAGCAGGGAAAAAGGGAAGGGACCUAAUACGUCCUUGACUUGAUUGUACCUGCAGAGGAAGCCCCGGCUAACUACGUGCCAGCAGCCGCGGUAAUACGUAGGGGGCAAGCGUUGUCCGGAUUUACUGGGCGUAAAGAGCGUGUAGGCGGCCAUGCAGGUCCGUUGUGAAAACUGGAGGCUCAACCUCCAGACGUCGACGGAAACCGUGUGGCUAGAGUCCGGAAGAGGAGAGUGGAAUUCCUGGUGUAGCGGUGAAAUGCGCAGAUAUCAGGAAGAACACCAAUGGCGAAGGCAGCUCUCUGGGACGGUACUGACGCUGAGACGCGAAAGCGUGGGGAGCAAAC